GAUGAACGCUGGCGGCGUGCUUAACACAUGCAAGUCGAACGGUGAACGAGGGAGCUUGCUCCCUCCGGAUCAGUGGCGAACGGGUGAGUAACACGUGAGCAAUCUGCCCUGGACUCUGGGAUAAGCGUUGGAAACGACGUCUAAUACCGGAUACGAGACGCGAAGGCAUCUUCUGCGUCUGGAAAGAACUUCGGUCCAGGAUGAGCUCGCGGCCUAUCAGGUAGUUGGUGAGGUAACGGCUCACCAAGCCUACGACGGGUAGCCGGCCUGAGAGGGUAACCGGCCACACUGGGACUGAGACACGGCCCAGACUCCUACGGGAGGCAGCAGUGGGGAAUAUUGCACAAUGGGCGCAAGCCUGAUGCAGCAACGCCGCGUGAGGGACGACGGCCCUCGGGUUGUAAACCUCUUUUAGCAGGGAAGAAGCGAAAGUGACGGUACCUGCAGAAAAAGCACCGGCUAACUACGUGCCAGCCGCCGCGGUAAAAC
rnacentral:rRNA from 1 species